ACCCUAGACGUUCGUAUGAAGCCCAUUGCGUCGCUCGUCUUCUCCCAGUCUUUGCUUCGAUCGGUCUAGCCACUCUGUUUUUUCUCAUCACACUGUCGACCAUCGGCAGCACCGUUCUUCUCCCUCUCGUCUCGUCCCCUAGCCGUGCUUCGAUCGUUUCUUCGUGCUCUGUUCAACCGGUCUAGCCACCCUGAUGUUUCACUUCCCUCUCUUUUUGCAAAAUUGGUUUUCAAAUUCCUUCCAAAAUUUUAAUUCCCUCUUUCUCAAAACUAAUUUCAGAUUCUCUCUCACCCAAUUUAUCAUUUCUCUCAGCCCUAACAAAAUCGAAGAAUAGGAAAAACCACCGUCUAUCUCUCGUGUCUCUCACCCUAACUCUCAUCGUCCUCGUCUGCAGCACCAGCAUCUGCCCAACCUAACAACCACCGUCUCUUACGUUGAAUGCCACCGCGGGUCCUCGAUUAAUUUCGAUUUUGGGGCCGUAGAUUCUCACUAGGGCUUUAGCAAUUCCUCCUUCUGAAUUUGGGUGUUGAAGAUUCAUCAAUGCAUUUAUGAGCCAAUUGAUCAGGUUUGAGUUCAUUUCUGUGUUUGUUGAUCGAGUGGAUUCGAAGGGCAUUGUCAAUUGGACGAUACGAUUCCUGUGAACGAAAGUUCUUCCUCAUCGAUUUUUGUGGCUUUCAUGAUUUCAGGUGAGGUUAUUAAACUCUCCAUGAAUGAAACAUUGGAUUUCUUGAUGAACAAACAGCCAAAUCCUGAUGGGUUUUCGCCAAAAACUUUAUAGAAAGAAGAAAUUAGAAAUUCAGGCUUGAAGAGAGAGAGGCCUAAAGUUUCCAUGUCUUUUGGCCCCAAUGCACAUGUAUCUAGGCAGACAUCCCAUUCGUUUUCUCGAGCUAUGUUCAGCCAUUGAUAUGAAUAUGGAGUUCCUGUUAAUCUAGACUGAAGUGGGAAAACAAAUAGCCCCUUUUUCUUCAUCUUCAUCUUCUUCUUCCUCUUUCGUUUACCGAUGAUUAGUCUUCUUAAUUUUCCGGUGGAGAUGUUUAAGUUUGGCCAUAAGAACUCGGCAGAGCUGAUUCUUGCUCCUUUCCUCUUGAUGUUAAGAUUUUGGUACCUAACAUGUAUUUAUCUAAAAUAGUUUCUCAUGGCAUUCUGCAAAAUAGUUUGGUAUUUUAAUAGGCUAAUGAUAGUUGUUAGAAUGUAAGUUAAUACAUUGUUUUUUUUUUUUUUCCAUAUAGAUAGUUCAAUUUUUUUUUUCCAUUUGUCUAAUUUUGACCCCAAAUUUUACAAUAACCAAACAUGACCUAUUUGUAAAGUAUAAAAUCCCACAAAACUUCAUUAAAUCUCAAAAUUGAAAUCUCCCUCAAAACUAACUAAAUUGAUGAAUCACCAAAUAUAAAAAGAACUGACAAAGAAAUAACAUCUUUGACAAUAAGGAACCUCUUAACUUAUUACAAAAAAUAAACUAAUUUGAACUGCAAAUGGACCUACAGAGUCUAUAUCACUCCAAAUCUGGUAUUGCAAAUAUUUUCAUUCUUUUUCUUCACACUCGUUAUUCUCAUAAUUAUGACCAAAAUGCUUUACAUGUCUAUGCAUUCUCUAAUAUUGUUGUUCAGAUUCUGUUUCUUGUCUACCCAUUAUUGUUCUUGAAACUGUACCUACAUCUGUUCAAGCAAAGGAGAUCAAAAUUGGGCAAGCAACAUAAGAAGAGAAACUAAAGGUGAUCAUUGGUCGUUAAUUGUUAUCAAUGCAUACGAUGAUUUGGUGUACUAUCUUGACUCAUUGAGAAGAAGUUCGCGAGAAGAUAUCAAAUACAUAACAAAUAUAUUGAUACAAGGAGUUCGUACUCGCAACUUGAAUUGGAUGAAGUACGCGUGGAAUGGGCUGAAUAUUUAGGUCGCUAUAUUUGAUGGACUUCCUAUAAAUUUUGUAUAUGUGGCUACAUGGGAAUGACAAAAACUUUUUUUGUAUAAAUGUUUUGUUCAACCAUUUUAGGUUAUAUACUUCAAAUAAAUGUGUGGUGGAGGAUAGAAUUUUAGUCUUGUGAUUUUUGGAAUACAUAGCAUAUACAGAUUGGUCUUACAAUUUUGGAAUUAUCAUAUAUUGGUUACUAGAGUAUAUACUGUUGUACGAUUGGUCUUGUAAA